GCCGCCUUAGCUCAGUGGUAGAGCAGCGCUUUUGUAAAGCGCGGGUCGCAGGUUCAAGUCCUGUAGGCGGCU
rnacentral:tRNA from 1 species